rnacentral:lncRNA from 1 species
AGAUAUCUGCGUGUAUUUGGUAGCGUGACAAGCGUCAAAGGUAAGUACAUCAGCUAUUUUGCAGCGGAUGAUUAAACCAGAAGUGCAUUUCUCACCCUGGGACAACGAGAAAACCUGCACAUUUGCAAGUGACAAGCUUGACACAUAUGAGUAACGAUGUUGUGGAAUUACUCGCUGUGAUAUGAAUAACAGCCUCCUAUUCCUGAUAUCCAUCUGUCUGACGGUCCUUCUCUUGCAGCCAUGUCCUACAGCCUCCUGGAAGAUACGCCACUGGAAGGGACUACUCCUGCUCUCGAAGGACAAAUGUGAAAACAGAUGCAAAUUUAAACACGGGUACUUCAUGAACGCUGCCGGUGAGUACCAGCUUGCUGCCAAGGCCAAGCGAGGGAUUAUCCCCGGAAAAUGUCAGUGCAUGGUAUCACCGGCGCUUAGGAAGUAUAUCACACAAAAAUACAGCCUCAAGGAGGCUAACUACUAUGGACGCCUGAAUUUCUUCGGGAUGACGAAGAGGGCGCGCAAUCGACUGGUCACCUUGGGCGGGAAGGUAGAGUUCAUCACUUACGAACAACUAGUGGCCAAGAAGAAGGCGGCCGAGUUUGAGAGGGUCAUCGCGGCUAACCGGGCUGCAGCUGCAGCGCGAUCUGCAUCAAAUUCAAAUCCCGGCAGCAGAUCUACCACCCCUGGACUGAGUGGUGCUUGCACCCAUGGGCGCCAGGGAUCGAGCGGGCUUUACCCGGGAUGUAGAUUGUGUGAGGAGUUAGCAGAGAGGUUGAAGAACCCAUAACAGGCCGCGGCGAAAGAUUGAGGACUGUUCAGACUUCUAGAAACGAAAUCAGUGUCGCCCUCGUAUUGGCUUUCGCGGCUGUCUCCGCCUCUCCUCUGCCCCGCGCCAAGCGCGCCGUCUUCUUCGCCGACUACCCGGGAGCCGCAGUUGCCUACGCCCCGGCCGCCUACCCUCACGCCUACGCCGCCACCGCCCUCUCCCCCGCUCCGGCCGCCGUAGUUGCCGCCGCUCCUGCCGCUGUCGGCGUCGUCGGCCGCUCCAGCAUCGUCCAAGCCUCACCCGGUGCUUACUCCGAACUCACCCAUUUCUACUGAGAAAUUUACGCAGGUCUACCUUCACUUAGAGGAUGAUGGAUGUCCACAUGACGUUGAGUAGUUGGAGUAAAAACAUCAUUGCGUGCCUGUUAGCUUUUUUCAUAAAUUUGAGCUCAUAAUGAAUUUCUUAUGUGAAAGUGGAUUAAAUAAAAGGAAGAAAAAAAAUUAUCCGAUAAUUAUUUGAUUUUUAUUUUCUGUAUGUUAGAGCGGUAUUGCAAUGGGCCACUAGAGAGGGUCUCAACAACAGAAAAAUGCUAUAGUUAAACCAGUUUGGAAAUAAGCUCCCGAACAAGAUUACAUCAAAUAUUUUUAACUCGCAAUCAAACAGAAUGGAAGAGAGUUUAUACGAAUGGCGUUAUUUUCUUUUUUUCAUAUUACCAAUGUUGUUGGUAAACACUUACAUCUCGCUUAGGAUCUGAAUUCUAGACCCCCGCCCCCGUAUCCUCUUGAAAUUACGAAGAAAACACAUUUUGCGCAGUGCUUUCAUUCAUUCCUUGUCUAGAGACCCAUCACUGCAACGUUUUUGAUUACUUUCGCAGAUUAGUGGACUGAUAUCUUAGCACGUGUUGUAAAUUUAAUCUAUUUUUUUAGUGAGUUUUGGUAAAUUUUAGCGCAAUUUCGUGUCCCCGAUAUCGCGUAAGGCUUAAAUUGAGCUGUUGGAUCUUCUAUUCUUUCCAACUUCCAGAGAAAAAGUCAUAUUAAAAUUAAUUCCUGUUGUAUUUUUGGCAGAAGAUAUACCAAAAUACUUACGGACAUCGCAGAAUGGAAGAAUAGCUAAGUAUUCCACAAGCAAGGUUUUAUAUCCCAACCGGAUCGUUUGAUCAAGCGCUCUAGUAUCAGGGCUGCGGCUAAUAUUUUGGGAAAAUAUUUGCAGGUCAAGAGGAAAAAAGCUUCACGUGGAAUACUUGCUUAAAGGUUCACAAUUGAAAAAUAAAUAUUGAUACAUAAACAUAGUUUUAAGAUCAUUUUAAAUAUAUUUCACUGAAAAUUUUCAGGAAAAACAUUUGUUCUUUGUCUAUCUAAAAAAAACAAAAUCUGCGAUGAUGCCACAAUCUGUGGUACACGUUUGUUUUCUUUUCAGCUGACAAUGCUGUUUUACAAACAAAGUAAAUAUGUUCAAAAUCGUUAUGAAAGUUAAUCAUUUAAUACUUACAAUCACCAUGAAGGAAGAUCGUAUUCAGAGUUUGUAAAUCUGCAAAUUACAUGAGAGUAGUUGAAUUUUGAAACUCAUUAAAGUCGAGUCAUCCUCGGACUGCGCUGCGGCGAAUCGAAGCUUGCGGCGUGCGCUACACUUAGGAAUCUACGAACCGCUAAGAGCUGCUAUGGGGUCGGCGGCCAAAGUUCUCGUAACGAUCUGUUAAAAGUUUUAGCAUUAUUAGCGUAGAGUUGUCUUGCAAGUUGGUAAUAUUCUCUUCUCUCCUACUCCAUUUAACUCGAGGGUAACUUAUUGGUUCUGUAUGAAACUAUCGGUUUUGAAAAAUAACAUUUAUUUUACUAAAGUUUAAAAAGACAAAAAAUAUCGUUUCACUCCAGCAAGAAUCGCCAUUGCUUCAGCGACAGGAAUAUGCGACGCAGGUCGUUGUUGAGUCGUUAUAAAUUUGAUCUGCCUGACUUUAAGGCAGAGAAUAAUCUUUCUGUAGGACUUUUUUUUCAUGUAACUAUAUAAAAGUAAAAGCUAGUGUCAAAUGCUAAUUUUCACCGCAUAUAAUAGGAGCUGCAUAUUAAUUUAUUUUAGUUCUGAUUUUCUUUCUUGCACAGAUAUUAUAUGAGAAUCAUUUGUAAGAGUCUAUUAAUGAAGAAUAAACAAUGAGAAUGCACUGAUCAUGAUAAUUUUAAAAAUCUACUAUACUUGUAGAAUAUUUUGAUUGAAAGACAGAUAAUUUGUUCGUAAAAAUUAUUAAUAAUGUGUCAUCAAUUAAAUUAUAAAACAACACAUUUUCUCCCAGUUAGUCGAUAAUGCAAAAUAAGUUUUAUUUAUAAUAAAAAAAUAUAUAUUAGUUCUGAUCUCGCAUCGUCACCCUUCCGGGUUAAACGUUUUUUAUUCAUGAAAAUUUUCCAAAUUGAGGAGAGGUUCAUCAGUGACAUCUCAUUAGUGUCAGCUCGCGUGCGUUAUCUUAAUGUUCAAAUUAAUCCGGAGGCUAUCAAAGUUUGUAUCGAGAUGCUCUGACAUUAAGUUCCCAUUUGUUGCUGUGAUCCUUUGGAUGCAAACUUGAGUGACAUAACUUUUUUUUAAAAAAAAAAAAACAUUAUCAUGAAGCUCCUCGUAAGUACCAUUACUUCUUGCUCUGUCUGAGACCCCCUCAAAGUGUAAAAACUAAUUUCAAAAUUGCUCUCAUCCACGUGAACGGAUGAUUUUAACGACUUUUUUAACUUUAACAUGCUUCACAAACUGUACACUUCAGAAUGUUGCCUCGAUCUCGUUUUGACAAGGCAGAUUUUUUAAUUAAGUCAGAGCUUUAGACAUGUACCUUUUUCUAAAUGAAAAGAGGUUACUAUAUUCGAGGUGUGGCUUAAACGCCAUGUAAUAGCUGAAACGCAAUGUUAAUUGCGAUGUAAAACAUUUGAAAUGAAACAUGUUUUUUCCACGAUUAUAUUUUAAAUUAUUAUUGGAUUAUCAGGAGAGAUUUCGGCUUAUCAACAUCACGCAUAAUAUGAAUUACUCUACCAAAAAGAGCUCUUACAAGAAAUAAACUCUUACAAGGGUGCUCAUGGAAAUGGUACUUGUCGACGUGACUCCUAGAAGGGAGAUUCUGCUGUAUUUUACUCAAUGUAUAAUAUGUGGCAGGCUAAUAUAGCAAAUCAGAAAUUUUUGCAACCAAAUUACCUAUGUCUAGACAGACAGUCAAUUACUAUACCUAAAGAAUGAAUUCUGAGAUCUUUCUUAAUAAUUAACAAAAAUAUUCUCUGAGCAUAU